CGGAUUGCAGUCUGCAACUCGAGUGCAUGAAGCUGGAAUCGCUAGUAAUCGCGGAUCAGAAUGCCGCGGUGAAUACGUUCCCGGGUCUUGUACACACCGCCCGUCACACCAUGGGAGUCGGGAAUGCCCGAAGCCGGUGGCCCGAUCGAAAGAAGGGAGCCGUCGAAGGCAGGCCGGAUGACUGGGGUGAAGUCGUAACAAGGUAGC
rnacentral:rRNA from 1 species